CCACAAACUGCCAGGCAGGUGUGUGGACAGCCUGGAGAUAAACUCUGCAGGAUGUUGGUCCUCCAGGACACCACUGUUAUGCAGAUAAAGAGCCACCAGGAACAGGUCGCUGCAUCUUUUGUCAUGUAGAUGCUGGAACAAAAAUCAGCCAGGCCACAGCAUCUAAAAUGGAAACUUCUAUUAAAGUGGCUCCGUAACGUAAGAGACUUGGGAUGGUGGAAGGAGCAGAAGAACCAGAAGAUCAGAGAUCAGGCAGAGCUCUACUGGUGCCCCUUAGGGGAUUGAUUUAUCUAUAAUUAUCUAUAAUAUCUACUUAAUGUUCUGAUGUAGUUAUAAUUGGUCAUUGUUCUGUUUUAUAAAUCUAUUCAAUAUAUCCUACUGUCAAUAGUUUGGGGUCAGAAAGUUUUUUUUUCUUUAAGAAAUUACUUGUAUUCAGCA